rnacentral:rRNA from 1 species
UACGGGGGGUGCAAGCGUUGUUCGGAAUUACUGGGCGUAAAGGGCGCGUAGGCGGCCCGCUAAGUCGAACGUGAAAUCCCCGAGCUCAACUCGGGAACUGCGUCCGAUACUGGCGGGCUUGAAUCCGGGAGAGGGAUGCGGAAUUCCAGGUGUAGCGGUGAAAUGCGUAGAUAUCUGGAGGAACACCGGUGGCGAAGGCGGCAUCCUGGACCGGCAUUGACGCUGAGGCGCGAAAGCUAGGGGAGCAAACGGG